AGGAUUUGAGGACGGAACGGGCAGCCGUCGCCAGAUAGCGGAAACGCUUGAAUAGGAGAUGUGGGAUUGUCACCCCACCUUAUUCU
ncrna:unclassified sequences skipping-rope RNA